UACGAAGGGGGCUAGCGUUGCUCGGAAUCACUGGGCGUAAAGGGUGCGUAGGCGGCGCGGUAAGUCGGGUGUGAAAUCUCGGAGCUUAACUCCGAAACUGCAUUCGAUACUGCCGUGCUUGAGGACUGGAGAGGAGACUGGAAUUUACGGUGUAGCGGUGAAAUGCGUAGAUAUCGUAAGGAAGACCAGUGGCGAAGGCGGGUCUCUGGACAGUUCCCUGACGCUGAGGCACGAAGGUCAGGGGAGCAAACGGG
rnacentral:rRNA from 1 species